rnacentral:misc_RNA from 1 species
CUGCAUUCCUCGAUGAAUCAGGAUAAGAUCUGUCACCCUGGCUGGAUCCCAUUGGAGCGCCACUUGUAACACCCGUAGAAGGGAAAGGAUCGUCAGGUCCCCAGGAGGUAAGAGCUUCCUUUUUCUUGGCAAAAAAAUAAUAUGCACCUAAAAGGAAAAUGAUGAAAAAUAAAACAGGACUCGUCCACAGCAUAGUGUUGAACUCAUUUUUGAAAACUGGAAGGUUUGAGCGAUAUAUCCCCAAGUAACCACUUCCAAGGCCAAGAAUAACGAGCUUUUCUUGAUCACUGGCAACUAAAGGAAUAACCUUUCUGCUUUUAUCAUUUGGUUCCAAAGAUUGAGAGCUCAAAAAUGAUGCUACAAUCUCAUCAUGACCAACAGAGAACAAUUGUCUUGGUCCACCAGACCGCACGUAAUGCAGCGAUGACACGUUAUACAGUGAUACCUUAUCCUGGUUAGCAACAAGCAAAUAUCCUUUAAUCGCUUGAAAAGACAGAGGCUCGGCCAUCUCUAACUUCCUUUUGGAUCUAACCCUGCACUUGAAGUUCAUAUUAUCACCUAAGAGUAGCACAUGAAUCAAAUCACCAUCAGAUGUAAACCCAUAGGCUUUCGACCGUUCAGUUGCAUCAAAUACAUAACUCUUAGCAAUAGAAUUGUUUAAACCUUCACAUUCAGAUUCCCUAAUCUUCAUGGUCCUCAAGUCUAGUGACCCUGCACCAGUCUCAGUUAGAAAUAGUAGCCUUUGUUUCAAG